AGAUUUUCCCCUGAAAAGAAAUUACUAUUCGCCUCCUGUCAACUUCAGUGCUUGGAUCAUACGAAUUCUUUCUACAUCUCUCUAAAAUGUCAUACCGGGCUAUAGAGGAACAGUCAGAAUCUAUAAGAGUGAACACAGUACUGGUGCAAAAAUUAGAAAAAAGUGUAAAUUGUGCGGUGCGAUUGAA
rnacentral:lncRNA from 1 species